GUUUCAUUCUCCUGUGGUUGGAGAGAAAUCAUCCUUGAUAUUUGAAAUUUUAUAGUACAAAAUUCUUAUCAUCUUAAACAACAUCUUUAGCAUUGGAAACCAGCUCUCGAUUCAUGUCAAUUAUCCUUCCAAUUUGGACAUAGUAAUGAAAACAUUGAAAACAUCCUUCAAACUUACUAUUUAUGAAUUUAGAAUAAAAAAGGCCAUCUCCUAACUUCCAACUAGAGUUGGCACAAAUUCGACAUCUUUAGCAACUUGAACAAUGAAGAAAAACUCAACUGUCCCUUGCACUU
rnacentral:misc_RNA from 1 species